rnacentral:rRNA from 1 species
AUGGCGGUGAAUGGGUCGGCCAACGGGUCGUCGGGGGCCAACGGGUCCUCGGGGCCGACCAGGACCGUGCUGGUGACCGGAGGCGCGGGCUACAUCGGCAGCCACGCCGUGCUGCAGCUGCUCGCCGCGGGCUUCCGCGCCGUCGUCGUCGACAGCCUCGAGAACUCCUCCGAGCUCGCCGUCCGCCGCGUCGCCGCGCUCGCCGGGGACCACGCGCGGAACCUCUCCUUCCACAAGGUUGAUAUCCGUGAUGAGGAUGCACUGGAUGCUGUUUUUGCUUCCACAAGAUUUGAUGCUGUUAUUCACUUUGCUGGACUGAAAGCUGUCGGUGAGAGUGUACAGAAGCCAUUGUUUUACUAUGACCAUAACAUUGCUGGCACAAUAAAUCUUUUGAAAGUCAUGGCAGCCCAUGAAUGCAAGAAGUUGGUGUUCUCAUCAUCAGCUGCAGUUUAUGGAUCACCUAAGAACUCACCCUGCACAGAGGAGUUUCCUCUCCUUCCGCACAAUCCCUAUGGCAGAACCAAGCUUAUGGCUGAGGAGAUAUGCCGUGAUAUAUACCGGUCAGAUUCUGAGUGGAGGAUCAUUUUACUUAGGUACUUCAACCCGGUUGGGGCACACCCCAGUGGAUACCUUGGUGAAGACCCACGUGGAGUUCCAAACAACCUUAUGCCCUACGUUCAGCAAGUUGCUGUUGGGAGGAGGCCGUCAGUGACAAUCUUUGGAAAUAACUAUGCAACUAAAGAUGGGACUGGGGUACGAGAUUAUAUUCAUGUGCUUGAUCUUGCUGAGGGGCAUAUUGCUGCACUACGGAAGCUUUUUGAUAGUUCGUCUAACAUAGGAUGUGAACCAUACAACCUUGGGACUGGAAAGGGGACGUCAGUGUUGGAGAUAGUCAAUGCAUUCGAGAAGGCUUCUGGAAAGAAAAUCCCGCUGGUCAUCGGUCAGCGUCGCCCUGGUGAUGCCGAGAUUCUCUUUGCAGGAACUGGCAAAGCAGAGAGAGAACUCAACUGGAAAGCGAAAUAUGGCAUCACGGAGAUGUGCAGGGACCAGUGGAACUGGGCUAGCAAGAACCCUUACGGGUACGGGUCACCCGACUCGACCAAGCAGAACGGUAGCAAUUCACACUGA